rnacentral:pre_miRNA from 1 species
AGUGCAAUUGCUGAGUCAUAUGUUAAGACUGUGUUUAAUUUUGUAGGAAACUGCCAAACUGUCUUUCAAAAUGGCUGAACCAUUUUGCAUUCCCGUCAGCAAU